rnacentral:rRNA from 1 species
UACGAAGGGGGGCUAGCGUUGCUCGGAAUCACUGGGCGUAAAGGGUGCGUAGGCGGGUCUUAAGUCAGGGGUGAAAUCCUGGAGCUCAACUCCAGAACUGCCUUUGAUACUGAGGAUCUUGAGUUCGGGAGAGGUGAGUGGAACUGCGAGUGUAGAGGUGAAAUUCGUAGAUAUUCGCAAGAACACCAGUGGCGAAGGCGGCUCACUGGCCCGAUACUGACGCUGAGGCACGAAAGCGUGGGGAGCAAACAGG